rnacentral:rRNA from 1 species
AGCAGCCGCGGUAAUUCCAGCUCCAAUAGCGUAUAUUAAUGUUGUUGCAGUUAAAAAGCUCGUAGUUGAAUUUCGGGGUUAGUAGAUUGGUCAUGCCUCUGGUAUGUACUGGUCUCACUGAUUCCUCCUUCCUGAUGAACCUUAAUGCCAUUAAUUUGGUGUUUUGGGGAAUUUGGACUGUUACUUUGAAAAAAUUAGAGUGUUUAAAGUAAGCUAACGCUUGAAUACAUUAGCAUGGAAUAAUGAAAUAGGACGUUCGAUCCUAUUUUGUUGGUUUCUAGGAUUGACGUAAUGAUUAAUAGGGAUAGUUGGGGGCAUUAGUAUUCAAUUGUCAGAGGUGAAAUUCUUGGAUUUAUUGAAGACUAACUACUGCGAAAGCAUUUGCCAAGGAUGUUUUCAUUAAUCAAGAACGAAAGUUAGGGGAUCGAAGACGAUCAGAUACCGUCGUAGUCUUAACCAUAAACUAUGCCGACUAGGGAUCGGAUGAUGUUAAUUUUUUAAUGACUCA